AGGAAAAAAGAAGAAAAAGAGAUCACAGAAACAGACAUACCCAAAAGGAAUUGCAGAGAAGAGAACAAAUUACAGAAUUCCUUCUUACAUCUCUCUCUCUCUCUCUCUCUCCCCUCUGUUGUCUGAUCCUUUCUUUCUCUCUUCCUUCUUUGCUUGCGCUUAGCAAAGAAGGAAAGGGAGAAACAAUUUCUAUUUCUUUUUCGAACAAGAGAGAAACAAAAGAGGAGAACUGUGUAUAUACAUAUAUACAUAGUUCUUUGUAUAUAUGCUCUUGUGUUGAAGUUGCGAUAUUUGUUGGGCAGAAAGAAAAAGAGGGGGAAAGAUGUUGGUUGCGAACAGUUUUGAUUCAUGGCAAAAGGACACCUUCUUUUCUGCAGCGGAGGAGGUCCAACAAUCUGCCGACAUAAUGGAAUCAGCUUAUAGGACAUGGCUCAGAGCAAGGAGAGAAGGAUUGAUGCCUCAGCAUUUAGAUGAACUUGGAAGAGAGCUUCAAAUGGCUUUAGGCACUGCGAAAUGGCAGAUGGAAGAGUUUGAAAGGGCUGUUCGUAUGAGCUACAGAAGUCAUGGUGAUGAUAUUAAAAUUAGCCGGCAUAGGCAAUUUCUUUCUGCUAUAGAAUACCAAAUUUCCCAAGUUGAAACAGCACUGAGGGAAUCAUUUAACGAGGAAGGGAAGAAACCAUUUCGCUGGGUGAAUUUGGAUGAACAAGAAUGUGAUGAUUUAGCUGUUUUUCUUUCUGGAACUUCUGGGGCAACACAAAGGAUCACAGAUGGAGAUGUAACUGUUGGAGCUGUGGUAACUGGUUCCCUUAAUGAGAAAAACCACAUGGGAAAAGAUAGCAAUCUUGGUUCCAGAGUUGGUUCCAAAAUCCAACUCUUAAAUCAGGGAAAUAGCCCUGAAGAAGUCACAAUUAACGAAGAUGCCAACUGCGUCAUGCAGCCAGAAGACAGCAGACUCCCAGAGAUGGGGGAUGAAGUUAGCCGUGAAGCUGAUAGAAUUGCUAGUAAUCGCAAAACCUGGAGUUCACCAGAUGGGAAUGCCCUGGAGAUUGUUAUUGAUAGGGAUGAUAGACAGAAGAAUGCAUUCAUCGAAGCAACUCCCAAGGAGAAAGCUUUCAGACCUUUCUUUUGGAGUUCAGUUGGUCUAGACCAUCUUGGAGCAAAAGGAGGAGCACUGAGCCGUGCCCAACUGAAAGUGAUCAAUUGGAUAAAUCAGCGAUUGAGAGGUCAAAGAAGUCACAGACAACAACAGGUGGCCCAAGUGUCGCCAGUCAAUUCUAUUCGUUUCGUACUCGGAUUGAUGCUAACCAUUUUUCUAGUGGUGCCAUUUUUGGUCUAUACAACUUAAGCCAUGUUGAACUCCAUCAAUACUGAGCAAGAAAAAAGAGGUUGUCAGCUUGUGUUGAUGAUGGACGGCUUCUUUCUUUCAAUUGUGCAUAUUAGUUGAAUGAUCCGUUCCCUACUGAAUCCAACUCAUGACAAUUUGAAUCAUAAUAAACUGCAAAUUGAUUCAGUUAUAUUCUACAUAACCUGUCCAAACAUAUAGAGAAAGCAUAGAACACAGCAUUUGAUGUAUCAUUUCCUUCAAAUGCAAUUCAUGAAGCAAACCACUGCUUAUCUUAAGACAUAAAAAGGCCAUCUUCCAACACAUAAAGCAGUUAUAUUGUUCCAGUCUCGUGGUCUGCAAUUGACAACCGCAACAGGCAUUCGUCUUUGUUUCAUC